AUUCUCUUUGAUCCUUCAGUGUGAUGAUUGGGUGUUCAUGCCUUAUGCAUGAAAUGUGCCUCCUUCAAAUCUUGUUAUGACAUGGAGACAUUACCCAUCUGAUG